UUAGAAAAAUAUCUUUGAUGUGAGAUCAAUGUGGAUAAAUUACAUAUUUAAUUAAAAUGUCACGGUACUAAAAAUAGAAACUAAAGAGAAGUAAGUAAAAAAGCACUUCAUACUUUGAAUAAAAGGGAAAAAAAAAACACCGAAACAAAACACAUGAAACAUGGACUCGUAGCUCAACAUUUAUUCACAUACUAAAAAAAAGUAUAUUAAACAUGGAAAAGAAUAAUAGAGUCAAAUAUAGUUUGUGUACAUCUACACCAUGUCUUCCAAUAGCAGGAGCCAAAGAAGAACUAGGUGUUCUUAGUAAGAAGUUGCAUUGCAUCUUAUGUAAUUUCUAUUUCAUGAAAAAUAGUAUAGGAAAGUAUAGAUGGUGAGGAGUUGAGGGAAUAAUUCACUAAUAUUAAUCUCACCUCUUUCCUUUAUUUAUUUUACUACUUGAAAUUGGC
rnacentral:lncRNA from 1 species